AUUGAACGCUAGCGGCAGGCCUAACACAUGCAAGUCGAGCGAGCGGCGGACGGGUGAGUAAUGUAUGGGGACUGCCCGAUAGAGGGGGCUACCUACUGGCAACGGUGCUAAUACAGCCUACUGUCGGAUAACCCAUAUGGGAUUAGCUAGUAGGUAAGGUAAGGGCUUACCUAGGCGACGAUCCCUAGCUGGUCUGAGAGGAUGAUCAGCCACACUGGGACUGAGACACGGCCCAGACUCCUACGGAGGCAGCAGUGGGGAAGAUUGGACAAUGGGCGCAAGCCUGAUGCAGCCAUGCCGCGUGUAUGAAGAAGGCCCUAGGGUUGUAAAGUACUUUCAGUAGGGAGGCGUUACCGACAGAAGAAGCACCGGCUAACUCCGUGCCAGCAGCCGCGGUAAUAC
rnacentral:rRNA from 1 species